AUACGUAGGGGGCGAGCGUUGUCCGGAUUUACUGGGCGUAAAGGGUACGCAGGCGGCCAUGUAAGUCAGAUGUGAAAGGCUACAGCUUAACUGUAGCAAGCAUUUGAAACUGUGUGGCUUGAGUUAAGGAGAGGAAAGUGGAAUUCCUGGGGUAGCGGUGAAAUGCGUAGAUAUCAGGAGGAAUACCAGUGGCGAAGGCGACUUUCUGGACUUAUACUGACGCUGAGGUACGAAAGCGCGGGGAGCAAACAGGAUUAGAUACCCUGGUAGUCCGCGCCGUAAACGAUGAGUGCUAGGUGUCGGGGGUCAAACCUCGGUGCCGCAGUUAACACAUUAAGUACUCCGCCUGGGGAGUACGUUCGCAAGAAUGAAACUCAAAGGAAUUGACGGGG
rnacentral:rRNA from 1 species